AUCCUCCUAUCUUGGCCUCCCAAAGUGCUGGGAUUACAGGAGAUAUUGGUUAUUUUACCGAGGCUUUAACUAGAAAGCUGUGUUUUCCUUUAAUGAAUUAAACUUGACUUAUGGAGCCAAUAAAAGUCCCUUGGGAGAAAUGGCCUUAUACCUUGUCUACACAGGGUUUCUGACCUGUGGCUUUGGUACUUACACCAUUUAGUCUCCUGAUUCUCGGGCCUUAGUACUUGGACUGAAUUACACUACCAGCUUCCCUGGUUCUCUAGCCUGCAGAUGGUGGAUCUUGGAACUUCUCAGCCU